AUUGAACGCUGGCGGCAUGCCUUACACAUGCAAGUCGAACGGUAACAGGUCUUCGGAUGCUGACGAGCGGCGAACGGGUGAGUAAUACAUCGGAACGUGCCCGAGAGUGGGGGAUAACGAGGCGAAAGCUUUGCUAAUACCGCAUACGAUCUCAGGAUGAAAGCAGGGGACCGCAAGGCCUUGCGCUCACGGAGCGGCCGAUGGCAGAUUAGGUAGGUGGUGGGAUAAAAGCUUACCAAGCCGACGAACUGUAGCUGGUCUGAGAGGACGACCAGCCACACUGGGACUGAGACACGGACCAGACUCCUACGGGAGGCAGCAGUGGGGAAUUUUGGACAAUGGGCGCAAGCCUGAUCCAGCCAUGCCGCGUGCAGGAUGAAGGCCUUCGGGUUGUAAACUGCUUUUGUACGGAACGAAAAGACUCUGGUUAACACCUGGGGUCCAUGACGGUACCGUAAGAAUAAGCACCGGCUAACUACGUGCCAGCAGCCGCCGCCGUAA
rnacentral:rRNA from 1 species